rnacentral:rRNA from 1 species
UACGGGGGGGGCAAGCGUUGUUCGGAAUUACUGGGCGUAAAGGGCUCGUAGGCGGCCAACUAAGUCGGACGUGAAAUCCCUCGGCUUAACCGGGGAACUGCGUCUGAUACUGGAUGGCUUGAGGUUGGGAGAGGGAUGCGGAAUUCCAGGUGUAGCGGUGAAAUGCGUAGAUAUCUGGAGGAACACCGGUGGCGAAGGCGGCAUCCUGGACCAACACUGACACUGAGGAGCGAAAGCGUGGGGAGCGAACAGG